CUCUGAUAUAUGCCCGUAAUUAUAUGCCCGGUUCUCCAGCACAUCUUGUGAGGAUAUAAGCAGUGACACCAGACACACAUCCUUCCCAUCUAGGAUUUCUUUCCUAAUGGAGUCUGGAACGGAGUGUGCUGGUGACACAAAAGGUGAAGUAACUGUGGCUGGUGCUGGAUGGGGAUGUAUAGGGGAGUGUGGUGUUGUAGCAGAGACUGCUGGGACCUG